rnacentral:lncRNA from 10 species
GUGCAAGCCAGCGAGGGAGACAGGGAGGAAGGAAGGGCUGGGGAGGCGGAGAGACAGACCGAGCGAGCGACACACGGACAGCGACGGACAGCGACAGAAGCGGGGCCCGGGACUUGGGAGACGGCGAGGUUGCGGGGCGCGAGGUGCUGGGCACGGAGCUACAGGGACGGAGAGCCGAGAGCCGGGGUCGCAGCGUGGAGGGGGCGCUGGCUGCUGCCGAAGCUCGGAGAGCGGCGUGGCGGAGGCGGAGCGGAGCCGAGCGAGGGGCCAGCACGGAACGUUCCCUUUCAGAAACCUGUUUAUGCACCCUCCUGCAAUCCCACCACCUGCCCAGGCCAAGUGAGCCCCUCUCCGCUACUGGUGUUUCAUAAUGCUGGGAGCUACUUUGAUUUCAUGCAUUGCCCUUCAGCUGCCAUGUUAUGAGGACACUUGGAGAAAGCUACAGGAGAGGAACUGAGGUCUCCUGCCAUCAGCCACUUGAGUGAGCAUGGGAGUGGAUUCUCCAAACUCCAGUUAAGACUUGAGAUGUCCACAGUGGCAGCCACUAGCUUGACUGCAACUUACGAGAGACCCUGAGCCAGAGGCACUCAGUUAAGUCAUACACAGUUUCCUGACCCGUAAAACCUGUGACACAAUGAAGGUUUGUUGUUUUGGGGGUAAUCCGUUAUUCAGCAAUAGAUAACGAAUACAGAAGGCUUGUAAUUGUAUAACCAACGUGAGUUUAUAAGCGGAUAUCUGACCUCAUUUGUUUUCUCCUGAAAAAGUUAUAGAAAAAUCACAAGACUGCAAGUCACUCUCUCUCUUUCUUUUGUGGGGAAUAAACAAGUAUAAUUACAAUUUCUAAACCUAUUGUUUUAUUCUCAAAUAUAAUUACAAUUUAAACAGGAUAUUGUAGAGCUCCAUCAUAGGGAUUAACACUAAUUAGAAUUAAAGAACGUUUUUGUGAAAGUCAGCUUUUUUUUUUUAAAUAAACACUCGUCCCUUGAUAAUGUAUUUCUUUUUCAUAAAAUUAAAAAAAAAAUGUGGGUUGUAGUAGGUGUAUAUAUUUAUGUGGUACAUGAGAUGUUUUGAUACAGGCAUGACGUGUAAUAAUCACAUCAUGGAAGAUGGCGUAUCCAUCCCCUCAAGCAUUUAUCCUUUGUGUUACAAACAAUCCAGUUACACUCUUUUUGUUAUUUAAAAAUGUACAAUUAAAUUAUUAUUGGCUAUAGUCACCCUGUUGUGCUAUCAAAUAUUAGGUCUUAUUCAUUCAUUUAACUAUUUUUUUGUACCUAUUUAUCAUCCCCAUCCCCGGUUCCCUCCCACCACCCACCCCACUACCCUUCCCGGCCUCUGGUAACCAUCCUUCUACUCUCUAGCUCCAUGAGCUCCAUUGUUUUGAUUUUUAGCUCCCACAAAUAAAUGAGAACAUGUAA